rnacentral:misc_RNA from 1 species
ACGAGUUGCAAACUCCCACAACCAUCGCUGAACGUUACCUACGUCGUUGCUUCGGCGGAUCGCCCUGCCCUGCGUGCCGGGAUCGGCGCCGCCGGACCUAACUCUUCAGUUCUACUGGAUCUCUGAGUCGUUUUUAAAUAAGUCA